rnacentral:rRNA from 1 species
AUUGAACGCUGGCGGCAGGCCUAACACAUGCAAGUCGAACGAGUGGCGGACGGGUGAGUAACGUCUGGGAAACUGCCCGAUGGAGGGGGAUAACUACUGGAAACGGUAGCUUAUACCGCAUACCAUCGGAUGUUCCCAGAUGGGAUUUGCCCGUAGGUGGGGUAUCGGCUCACCUAGGCGACGAUCCCUAGCUGGUCUGCGAGGAUGACCGGCCACACUGGAACUGAGACACGGUCCAGACUCCUACGGGAGGCAGCAGUGGGGAAUAUUGCGCAAUGGGCGCAAGCCUGAUGCAGCAAUGCCGCGUGUAUGAAGAAGGCCUUCGGGUUGUAAAGUACUUGCAGCGGGGAGGCGUUACUCGCAGAGGAAGCACCGGCUAACUCCGUGCCAGCAGCCGCGGUAAUAC